CACACACUACUGAUACACUAGUGAUACACUAGUGUUAAUAGACGCCGCACCUUAUCUGCUGAAAUAUUUUUAUGGUGACUGCAUCUUUAGACUUUGAUUAGAAAAGAGUAAAAGCUUUUCUGAUCAUUUGGCAGAUGGUAAGAGCUGCUAAAGUAGGACUGGUCAGUAAUGUUUUAAGGUGGUACUUAGUGAAGGGUCUUUUGAUUUAUGGAUUAUAAUCCUCUAAAUAUUUCUCUUUCUGUUGUAUCUUACAGAUUCUCUGUUGUCCUCCAGUAAAGAGCCACCACAAUCCUCCAUCACAAACCCUCCAGACUCCUCUGAACGCCAAAGGCUUUAUGUGUUAAUUGCUCCAGUUGUACUCAUCUUGGUGGUCUUGGGGGGUUUGUUUCGUCUGUACAUUUUCAGGAGGAAAUGUAAGUCAUCAGCUGAUGUUGAAGCAGUGUGCUGAACCGCUGCUGUCUCCAGGUCCUGCAGUCACACACGUGUGUCCAUCAGUGUCCAUCUGUCUGUCUGCUGUCUGGAAGAUGAUGACUUCUGUCUUUCCCUGUGCGUCUAAUGGUUUCACAGAAAUGGAUAUUCCUCUCUCUGUUGAGGAGACCAGACCAGAUCCAGACCAGAGUUCAGUGCGUCCAUUCACUUACGGAGGAUGAUGAGGAUGAUGAGGAU